UACGUAGGGUGCAAGCGUUGUCCGGAAUUGAUUGGUGCGUAAAGAGCGUGUAGGCGGCCCGAUUAGUCUGCUGUGAAAGUCCAGGGCUCAACCCUGGAAUGCCGGUGGAUACGGGCAGGCUAGAGUUCGGUAGGGGAGACUGGAAUUCCCGGUGUAGCGGUGAAAUGCGCAGAUAUCGGGAGGAACACCAACGGCGAAGGCAGCUUGCUGGGACGGUACUGACGCUGAGAUGCGAAAGCGUGGGGAGCAAACAGG
rnacentral:rRNA from 1 species